AUUGAACGCUGGCGGCAGGCCUAACACAUGCAAGUCGAACGCAGUGGGGACGGGUGAGUAACACGUGGGUAACCUCCCAUCAGAGGGGAUAACACUUGGAAACAGGUGCUAAACCGAUACUGAUGGAUGAACCCGCGUUGCAUUAGCUAGUUGGUGAGGUAACGGCGUACCAAGGCCACGAUGCAUAGCCCACCGGAGGGGGUGAGCGGCCACACUGGGAUUGAGACAGGGCCCAGACUCCUACGGGAGGCAGCAGUAGGGAAUCUUCGGCAAGGGACGAAAGUCUGACCGAGCAACGCCGCGUGAGUGAAGAAGGUUUUCGGAUCGUAAAACUCUGUUGUUAGAGAAGCGGUAUCUAACCAGAAAGCCACGGCUAACUACGUGCCAGCAGCCGCGGUAAUAC
rnacentral:rRNA from 1 species